CCCGCGCGGAUGGGAAACGGGUGGCACGUGGCAGCCCGCGGUCCCCAGGGCCCUGGCUAGACCCAAAUCUCCUUGGCCUCCUUUUUCUGGGCCUCGUUUAGCUGAAAGCAGGACGGAGAGAGGCUGCUGCUGGACGUGCCCCCCCCAGGGAUGGGUUUGUGCCCUGAGCCUGCACCCGCGGGGAGCUCAAAGGAGGAAUUGUGCAGAGCCCCCCCCGCGGGGUGCCACGCGCCCGGUGCCAGCCGCGGCCGGGCCCGUCCCGCUCCCGCGUGGUCCCCACAACGGCUGUUUGUCCCCCUGCCCGAUGCUACAGCUCGAUUCUUCCCUCCCCUUGUCCCCGCUGUGCGUUCCCUUCCCUCCGCAGCUCCUCGUCCCACAGGGGUCCCACGGCCCCCACACCUGCGUGGGUGCCACGGGGGCUCUGGCGCGGAGCUCGCCUCCCGCCGGCGCACGGGAGCAUCCUUUCCGAGGACGCGAUGCCCCAUCCAGCUUCAGCGGGAGGUGUUAUAAAAGCCCCCCGAGGAGACGAAUCAGGCCCCAGGGCCCUUUUCCCUGCACUGACACAACGGUGCUGUGCACCCAUGGGCGCAGGUGCGUGCAAAAGUGUGUGCAAGGACAUGAGGGGGGGGGUGCCAGGGGCACGUCCCCGCUUGUGCUGCCCCGUGCCAGUGCUGCCCCUCGGACCCCGUCACCAUCUCCACCAGCGCCCCACGGAGCCACGGACUGGUUUGGGUCGGAAGGGACCUCAAAGACCACCUAAUUCCAGCCCCCAUCCUGUGUCCUGCUCCCUGCCAGCACCCCGCAUCUCUCCCCUCUGCCUGCUCCGCUCCCCGCUGCUCCCCCAGUUUGCUCCUGCUCCUUCCCCAGUCUGCUCCCACUGCUCCCCCAGUUUGCUCCCACUUCUCCCCCAAUUUGCUCCCGCUGCUCCCCCAGUCUGCUCCCACUUCUCCCCCAGUUUGCUCCCUGCCAGCUCAAUUUUUGGGGGGGAGGGGGGGGGGUCCGACCAUCACACCAAACCCCACGUCUCCGCUACACGGAGGGCAGCCCGUGCCAAACAGUCGGCGUCACCUCCCCGAGGUCUGCCGAGCUGCGGUGUCCCCCCGCACGGUGUCACCCCAAUUUCCAUCUGUGGCCAUCCUGGGGCUGCAGGCUCCGCGAAGCCACCCGCCGGGGGCAUUUUUUUUGGGGGGGGGGGGGAAACACCUCCCCGCAGCCCGACGCCCGCGGUGUGACGGAGGGGACCGGUGCCUAAAUUUACCUGCACGGUCCCCUGGAGGUGCCGGGCUCGUGAUCGCCGCCGUCGGCGUAAAUAGGCCGGGGUGAACCGAAUUGGGGGGGGGGAAGAAGAUCGGGCUCGUGGGGAGGGCACAGACCUGGGAGGCGCUCCCUGAAUCCUCCGCGCGCCCCGGGGUGGGGGGGACGUGACACCGAAAUAGCUUCGGGAUGUGGGACUUGGCCUCGCCGAGCUCCCAUUGCCCAGUUUUAUUCAGAACUGGUCCUCAGGUGCCUUUGGAAACGGGUCACACCGGGCUUGGGUGGUGUCCCAGCCCCGGGAGGAUGGAGGGGACACCCCAUAACCGAUGACCCCAAAGUGGGGGGGGGGCGGCGGGGGCGCUUUGUCCCCACCCGGGGACAUCGAAGCUGCGGGGUGUCCCCGAGCCCCCCGCCUGCAGCCUCCAGCUCCCGACCAUUGUCACUUUGUCACUGCCCAGCUGUGUCCUGCUGGGGCGGGUGGCACCCACCCCUCGCCGUGCACGAGCCCCCCAAACCCAGCCAAAAGUGGGACCCCCGUUGGGUGCCAGCCUAAUUCUGGGCUCGAACCCUAGAAAUAAAAACUAAAAUUAUAUUUAAAAAAAAAUAUAU
rnacentral:lncRNA from 1 species